UUCAAAAAACAUAAAAUAUACAAUAGUAAAGUCUAUGACACAACACAAACUGUAGAAGAAAAAAUAUAUAAAGAUUGAUUCACAGUGACAGAAAUUCCUUCAAAUAAUAUGAAGGUUAUUUCAUAGAUGUAUAGGUAUGCACCGGAAUUAUUGUCCUUUAGUGUUUUUAGACUUAAAAUUGAUUUUUAAAAAAGGUUUUAUUGAGACAAAUUGGUACCAAAAACCAUAUUCCUCGGGUAGAUAUUUAAAUUUUUGGUCCAACCAUCAUAUUAAUAUUAAAAAGGGAAUCAUAUUUUCUUUGGUGGAUAAAACUAUUUUACUAUCUGAACCACAUUUCCAUGCUGAAAAUUUAAAUUUUAUUUUUGAAAAAUUAAAACAAAACAACUACCCUUAUAAUUUCAUAAAAAAGAAUAUCGAUCAAAGAAUACAAUUUUUGACUUUGAAAAAUAAUAAUAAUAACGUUAUAAAUUUUGACAGAAAAUUGAUCGAACCUUCACGCACUAUAGUAAUUCCAUAUGUGCCUGAUAUUCUCAAACCAACCAUAAACCUAUGUAAAAAAUUAAAUAUCUCAAUAGUCUUUUCAACCCUUAUGAAACUUCAUAACAAUUUACUUCCAUCCCCUAAGGACAGAAUUCCAAAAUUCGAGAAGACCAACGUUAUAUAUAAAUUAAGUUGUAAUGAUUGUAACGGCAUAUAUAUUGGCCAGACAAUACAAGAACUAAGAAAAAGAGUUUCUGCUCAUAAACAUUCACAACUACGCAAAAAGACCAACACAGCGUUAUGUAAACACUCUACGAAUUUAAAACAUACAUUUUGCUUCGACCAAAACAGCGUUAAAAUCUUAGAUGUCGAAGGUUCUUAUAGAAACAGAAACUUUUUAGAAAUGUAUUACAUCGCAAAGGACUCAAAUUCCGUAAAUUUCCGAACUGAUAUUGACAAUCUAUCAAUAAUGUAUUUUGAUAUUAUUGGAACAUGUGAUAGAAUUUCGAACACUAAAGGACAAUAAUUCCGGUGCAUACCUAUACAUCUAUGAAAUAACCUUCAUAUUAUUUGAAGGAAUUUCUGUCACUGUGAAUCAAUCUUUAUAUAUUUUUUCUUCUACAGUUUGUGUUGUGUCAUAGACUUUACUAUUGUAUAUUUUAUGUUUUUUGAAAUUGUAUCACUGUCCUUUGUAAUGAUGAGCACAUGUGUUAUUUAUUUUGUUUAUUAUUUUUAUGUUUAUUUAUCAAUUUGGAAUGUUCUGUUGGAUUUUUAUUUGUUAUAAAAUGAAGGAAGUCUCGAUGGUUCUUGUUCAAACAAGAAUCCAGUAAAUCCGAACAAAUUUUAUUCCAUUUUUUGACAGGUCUCGAUUUUGAGGUUAUGUUGGCCUUUAAAAACUUUUCGAAUUUAAAUUUUUUAAAAGUUUUAUAAAUUUGUAUCAUUGAACAAUGUGUCCUGAUGAGCUGUGUUCACAGUGAAAAUGCAUUCGAUGAAAUAAAGUAAUAAUUGCUGAUUUUUAACAACUUUCUCAAAUCUUUUGGACCCAAGGCCACAAUAUAAACAAUUUUAUUUGA